GCGGGGCACAGUGGUGAAUGCCUGUAAUCCCAGCACCUCAGGAGGCUGAGACAGGAGGAUCAUGGGUUUAAAGCCAGCCUCAGCAAUAACGAGCCACUAAGCAACUCAGUAAGACCCUGUCUCUA
rnacentral:sRNA from 1 species